rnacentral:lncRNA from 12 species
ACAAAAGCGUCUCCCUCUUAGCUCUUUGUUGGAGACACACUAAAGAAUGAAUGUGCUUGGAAGUUUGUUCAGUUUCCAUGCUGGUAUCAGUGGUUCUAAAAAAAAAAAAAACAAACCAAAAAACCCCACAAAAUAAACAGCAGAAACCCAACGAGGCUUCCUGAAAUUUGCACAGUAAAGAGCUCUGCUCUGUCCCACAGCCCUUAAACCCUAAAAACAAACCAAAAAACCCCAAAAUAAACAGCAAAACCCAACGAGGCUUCCUGAAAUUUGCACAGUAAAGAGCUCUGCUCUGUCCCACAGCCAUUAAACCCUUUAGCCAGCCCUGCACUGUCCCAAACAGCCACACUCUGGAUCCAACUGCCCCCCAAAGCACCUUCCACAGCUGCUGAUGGUGAAACACUGCCGUGCUCUCCUUGUGCAGGGAAAAGCAUUAGGACAGAGCCAACCUCCCUCUUGGGCCCAAAGGCUCUGCUGACCAUUAGCCAUCUGUCUCAAGCAAGAUCUGCUCUGGCUGAAAGGGGAUGGCUGCUCUGGCUUUUGGAGGAUCCAUGCCACAGAUAUUUAACCCUAGGACAAAACUGCUCCCCAUCUUCCCUCCUUGCUGCAGGCACCACACUCUGCUGGUACUGACUGCAUCCAGCACCCUCUGCUGCCAUCCCUCCUUCCAGCACAGCCUCUCUGGAAAAGAAGCAGCACUUCCCAUAAAAAAAACUGUCCCAAGAUCUGCUACAGUUUGGCAAAGGCAUGACACUGUAUUACUUUCCAUUUUGUUUUGCUGUUGUUGAAAUUACAGGAAAAUAAAUAUUUUUGAGAUGAAAC